UGGAGAGUUUGAUCCUGGCUCAGAUUGAACGCUGGCGGCAGGCCUAACACAUGCAAGUCGAGCGGCAGCACAGAGAAACUUGUUUCUCGGGUGGCGAGCGGCGGACGGGUGAGUAAUGCCUGGGAAAUUGCCCUGAUGUGGGGGAUAACCAUUGGAAACGAUGGCUAAUACCGCAUGAUAGCUUCGGCUCAAAGAGGGGGACCUUCGGGCCUCUCGCGUCAGGAUAUGCCCAGGUGGGAUUAGCUAGUUGGUGAGGUAAGGGCUCACCAAGGCGACGAUCCCUAGCUGGUCUGAGAGGAUGAUCAGCCACACUGGAACUGAGACACGGUCCAGACUCCUACGGGAGGCAGCAGUGGGGAAUAUUGCACAAUGGGCGCAAGCCUGAUGCAGCCAUGCCGCGUGUGUGAAGAAGGCCUUCGGGUUGUAAAGCACUUUCAGUCGUGAGGAAGGUGGUAGUGUUAAUAGCACUAUCAUUUGACGUUAGCGACAGAAGAAGCACCGGCUAACUCCGUGCCAGCAGCCGCGGUA
rnacentral:rRNA from 1 species